CAAGUCGAACGGCAGCACGGGAGCAAUCCUGGUGGCGAGUGGCGAACGGGUGAGUAAUAUAUCGGAACGUGCCCAAUCGUGGGGGAUAACGCAGCGAAAGCUGUGCUAAUACCGCAUACGAUCUACGGAUGAAAGCGGGGGACUCAGCAAUGGGCCUCGCGCGAAUGGAGCGGCCGAUAUCAGAUUAGCUAGUUGGUGGGGUAAAGGCUCACCAAGGCGACGAUCUGUAGCGGGUCUGAGAGGAUGAUCCGCCACACUGGGACUGAGACACGGCCCAGACUCCUACGGGAGGCAGCAGUGGGGAAUUUUGGACAAUGGGCGAAAGCCUGAUCCAGCCAUGCCGCGUGAGUGAAGAAGGCCUUCGGGUUGUAAAGCUCUUUCAGCCGGAAAGAAAUCGCGCAGGCUAAUACUCUGCGUGGAUGACGGUACCGGAAGAAGAAGCACCGGCUAACUACGUGCCAGCAGCCGCGGUAAUA
rnacentral:rRNA from 1 species